rnacentral:rRNA from 1 species
CGGUCCCUAUCCGUCGCGGGCGCAGGAAAUUUGAGAGGAGCUGUCCUUAGUACGAGAGGACCGGGAUGGACGCACCGCUGGUGUAUCAGUUGUCUUGCCAAAGGCAUGGCUGAGUAGCCAAGUGCGGAACGGAUAAACGCUGAAGGCAUCUAAGCGUGAAGCCGACCCUAAGACGAGAUAUCCCACACCAUAAGGUGGUAAGACCCCUUGAAGACUACAAGGUUGAUAGGCCAGGGGUGUAAGUGCCGCGAGGUAUUUAGCUGACUGGUACUAAUAGGUCGAGGGCUUGACCAUGA